UAAAAGGCUAAUCUAACUAGCCAACUCAUUCCUCCACACUUUAAGCUCACAAGCACAUGCACACCUCUCUCUCAUCUCCCUCCCUCUCUUAUUCUUCUUUAUUUUCAGCAGCCCUCCUCCUCCUCCUCACUCCACCACACUUCUUUUUCUUGUUCCACCAAAUAUAGUAAGAACUAAGGUUUCUUAAAGUGUUCAUCUUCAAGCUCAAGCUCCAAGCAUACUACGCAUCAUCUUCUACUCCACCUCCAUUGAUCUUGUUGGUUCGAGUGACGGCCGGCGUUAGUACGACUCUGAGCAUUACGUCAUCGACCCCUGAGACAGGUCUGGCUUGGCGCGAGGAUGGGUGAAAGCUGUUGGAAUUGUCAGUUGGCUGUGUCUUUCCUAUGUCUCAUAUUUAUCUUUAUAAGCUUUGACUCUAUAAGAAUUUGAACUCCCUGCUAUAUGUCUUCACACAUAUAGUAACGCAUCUCGCUGCAUAACUCUGAUGAAACUCUUUAUUUAAUUUGCUUAUGCCUGUAAUAUCCCAUAAGGGAAAUACUUCUCAGACCCUUGCUA